rnacentral:rRNA from 1 species
GAUGAACGCUGGCGGCGUGCCUAAUACAUGCAAGUCGAACGCUGAAGGAGGAGCUUGCUCUUCUGGAUGAGUUGCGAACGGGUGAGUAACGCGUAGGUAACCUGCCUGGUAGCGGGGGAUAACUAUUGGAAACGAUAGCUAAUACCGCAUGACAACAGUUAUUGCAUGAUAACUGUUUAAAAGGGGCAACUGCUCCACUACCAGAUGGACCUGCGUUGUAUUAGCUAGUUGGUGAGGUAACGGCUCACCAAGGCGACGAUACAUAGCCGACCUGAGAGGGUGAUCGGCCACACUGGGACUGGGACACGGCCCAGACUCCUACGGGAGGCAGCAGUAGGGAAUCUUCGGCAAUGGACGGAAGUCUGACCGAGCAACGCCGCGUGAGUGAAGAAGGGUUUCGGAUCGUAAAGCUCUGUUGUAAGAAAAGAACGAGUGUGAGAGUGGAAAGUUCACACUGUGACGGUAUCUUACCAGAAAGGGACGGCUAACUACGUG